rnacentral:rRNA from 1 species
AGGGGCUUGUACUCCUUCGGGGGUGCAAGCACCGGCGGACGGCUCAGUAACACGUGGACAACCUGCCCUCGGGUGGGGGAUAACCCCGGGAAACUGGGGCUAAUCCCCCAUAGGUGAUGGGUGCUGGAAUGCCCCAUCUCCGAGAGCGCUUAGCGCCCGAGGAUGGGUCUGCGGCGGAUUAGGUAGUUGGUGGGGUAACGGCCCACCAAGCCUAAGAUCCGUACGGGCUGUGGGAGCAGGAGCCCGGAGAUGGACCCUGAGACAAGGGUCCAGGCCCUACGGGGCGCAGCAGGCGCGAAACCUCCGCAAUGCGGGAAACCGCGACGGGGUUAGCCGGAGUGCCCGUGCAUUGCACGGGCUUGUCGGGGUGCCUAAACAGCACCCCAUAGCAAGGGCCGGGCAAGGCCGGUGGCAGCCGCCGCGGUAAGACCGGCGGCCCGAGUGGCGGCCACUCUUAUUGGGCCUAAAGCGUCCGUAGCCGGCCCAGUAAGUCCCCCGGGAAAUCUGGUCGCUUAACGAUCAGACUUCCGGGGG